rnacentral:tRNA from 2 species
GCGGGUGUAGUUCAGUGGUAGAACGCAAGCUUCCCAAGCCUGAUGUCGUGAGUUCGAGUCUCAUCACCCGCU